CUCCUAUCUUCUUACUAAGGCUACAAGGCUUACCAACUUGUUGCUUAGUUUCAGGGUAUAACGGAAGAGCGGAUCAAUGACCUCACUGGUACAUGUGACUCACCAUUUGUUGCACUUUGUAAAUCCUUGUACUAGCAAUGCUGCGGGACAUACUUGAUCUAGUUCAAAGUCGCAUCAAAAUUCAAUUGAGAUUCGCUGCUGGAGCUCCAGGAUGAAGGCCCAGUUAAGUUGUAAUCCAUUGGCUUUACGAUUUGAUUUUGAGUUCGAUGUUGUUGAGGGGGGUGACUUGAACUUGAAUCGCCU